AUCAUUUAAAGAAAGCGUAAUAGCUCACUGGUCGAGUCGGCCUGCGCGGAAGAUGUAACGGGGCUAAACCAUGCACCGAAGCUGCGGCAGCGACACUAUGUGUUGUUGGGUAGGGGAGCGUUCUGUAAGCCUGCGAAGGUGUACUGUGAGGUAUGCUGGAGGUAUCAGAAGUGCGAAUGCUGACAUAAGUAACGAUAAAGCGGGUGAAAAGCCCGCUCGCCGGAAGAC
rnacentral:rRNA from 1 species